rnacentral:pre_miRNA from 1 species
CUCACACCCAUGUGUGUAGAACAACAAAUGAUCACCAUUAAAUUUGGCACAGAUCUCUAGAAAAGUUAUCACAUGGGUGCGAGACUUAACUUUUUUAGAGAUCUGUGCCAAAUUUAUUGGUGAUCCUUUGAGGUCCUACAUACAUGGAUAUGGA